GACAGAGGAUGCAAGCGUUAUCCGGAAUGAUUGGGCGUAAAGCGUCUGUAGGUGGCUUUUGAGUCCGCCGUCAAAUCCCAGGGCUCAACCCUGGACAGGCGGUGGAAACUACCCAAGCUGGGAGUACGGUAGGGGCAGAGGGAAUUUCCGGUGGAGCGGUGAAAUGCGUAGAGAUCGGAAAGAACACCAACGGCGAAAGCACUCUGCUGGGCCGACACUG
rnacentral:rRNA from 1 species